ensembl:lncRNA
GUCCAGAAGCUCUGGUGAGAGAGACAAUAUUUGCAUUGUGCCCUGGCUUCUCCCUGGCGUCUGUUCUCAGGACUGGCGAUCCUGCUCUUGAAGUGGUUUGAGGUGGAACAGAAUGCAUUUGUGCUGAGAACAGCAGAGGGAUUUUAGUCACUUUCUGAAAUGGGGAAAAUUGCCUCAUUUUUCAGCAUUUGGCCUGCAAUCCCACACUUCCCUAGCUCUAUGUACAGAUUAGUUCAUACUUUUUUGGUGUUUUUGGCUUGAAAUGAACACUCCCAGCCAGCGGAUAGAUAAUUCCACUUGUGCCGAUCCCCCGGGGCACAUGCAGGGCUGCAGAAACAGGAAAUAGGAAACGUAUUACAUACCUUUUCCCCUCAAUUUUAUUUUCAUAAUGCAUGGAAAAUAGCAGAGCUCUGAAUUAUUUGAAAUUUUAGAGUUAUUUAAUAUUUAUUUUUGAGAAACAAUCUCUCUUUCAGGCAGGCCUGGUGGUGCCGGACCAGCAGCCCGGCCAGCUCCAGCUCCAGCGGGCGCGGGAGGCACUGGUGAGGCAGAGCCGGGGGCAUGGGGGGGCUGCUCCCCGCUGCAGCCCCCGGCAGCCCAGGAAGGGGUCCCCGGGGGGUUGCAGAGAUGUGCGGUCCUCGGGCUCCAGCUGCAGGGGUGCGGCAGGGGCAUCGCUCCCCCGCCCUCUGAGGUUUGCAGCACUGCAUCUGCCUCAGGUGGUGCCCGGAUGUGGUUUUGUUGCAGUAGCUGCUUUUCAGCACCAGCGUUUAAAAAUCUUAAGUUUUCACCUGCACUCCAGCAGAGUGGAGGGAUGUGGUGGGGCAGGGGAUGAGGAACUGCUCGCUGCCAGCCUUGCAGAGCUUCCCAGCACUGCAGCUCCCGCCCUGGGAUGCAGGGAGGAGCGAUGCUCCCUUGGCAGCAGCUGCAUGCACGUUGCUGCCCUGGUUUUCUCCUCCUUCAUACAGACCAUCAGAGCAAAGAAAACCCUUGGGCCCUCUGCAAUCUGGCUCGGUACAAGACCCCCCGAAUUAGUUUUCUUCACAAAACCAGUGCAAAGCAGUCUGCAAAGGACAUCAAGCUCUGCUCUCAGGGAUCCGACCUGGGGGAGGUCUUCUACCUGAUGAAGCUGCGGAUUCCGGCUGGAGUACUGCAGCAGCCAUCAGCUCCUCCUGGACUCAUAGACUGGGGAGAGGCAUUCAGACUGUGCUGAUUUUCUUCACAGCUUCAAAGGUAACACUGAUUCCAGUGGGGGAAAAAAAUGCUUGAAGGGACAGAGGCAAGUCUGGCUUUGGCAGGUUCGUAGCUGAUGCUCUGCGCCCCAGAUUGGCAGAGCGGUCUGUUGGUGGUUGUGCUCUGUUCCUCCCAGCUGUGCUUCUACCACUCUUGUAUCCAAGAUAUCCCAAACUAUGCGGAUGCCACAUGCAGACAAGGCCACGGGACAAUGCGCUUCAGCAGGAAGGUGAUGGCAAUAGGUAGCUCUUUAAGAAGUUCGUUUCAAAUAAGCACCGCACAGAGCCGGCAGUGCCUUUGGAUCUCUGUUUCCUUCGGAUCUCAGUGAAUCUACACUCCUGGUCCCUUGACAGCCUGGGCGCUCAGGAGCAGCCAGGCUGGAUUUGCUGGUGGUAUCACCAGGUACAUCGCCAGUGUUGGCUGAAGGCUAGUGCUGCAGCAGUGUGAGCACUUGUCACUUCCAUCCUCCAAAAAAUAGGCCUAAACUUUGUUUGCAGAAAUACACCUGGCAAACUCCACGGCUUAAAAUUAGAAGUGCAAUUUUAUGUCUAAAAGCUGACAAUGGAUGAACAACAGGUCAUGCACAAAAAUGAAAGGGGACGUGACUAAUAUUGGAUGAAUUUCUAGAAAUUGGAUGCCAACAGAUCCAUGAUAAAAUUCUCCCACAAAGUAAACAUACAAAGAUUGUUUAUGUGCCAAUUUUCAGUUUCUGCUGCAUAUUACAAAAGUAAGCUAACUGCGGUUAAAAAUACAGAGUAACAAAUCCUCUUACCAGGGAAGCUGCAGUUUCCAAAUCUGCCACUCUAGUCGCAGCAUUAAUUUCCAAAGCCAUCUAUCCAUAGCAAGAUAACCUACUUGGCCAAAAUUUCUUCAUUGUGGGAAUGAUACUGAGUAAGCAACAGAUACAUACAGGCACACGUUGAGUUCUGGUAGAUGAAAUCUGUAGGGUCCAGCUUCUGCAGCUCGCUGGGGGAGACUGCAUUUUUCUGAGUGCGCCUUACGGAGCUGCGUGGCUGGGAGUGCCAGUGCCUGAAAUACACUGCCUGGCUUGCAAAAAAAAGCCAGUCCUCUUUGAUGAUGCAGAAAUCAUUUUACUUGUUGAAGCAGUGAAUGUUAAUGAUUAUUAAUUGUAAAAGGCUCUCCAGGGGCUAUGUGUGUGUGGGACUACUGAGUGCUUUGCAAUUCCAGCAUGAAAUGAGUUACUCCACAGCAUUAAAAUGAGAACAACUCUCACUAGCAUCCACAGAAAGUAAUUGAAUUGUUACUGUGUGGCACCAGUCCCUUCCGUUUUGCUCAGCAUUGUCACAAGGAGCCAGGCACCCUUAGCAGUAAGACAUAAAACAUGAAUUCAACCUGAAAUUUAGGUGGAAAAAUAUAUUUUCAGCCUCCCUCUAAAACUGCUGUAAGGUAACCCAGCGUGCCCCAGAGCAGCAGGGUAGUUUUGCCACAGAGGUGUUUGUGUUUUGGCAGCUGUCACAACAGGGGCAGGCAGGCAGCGGUGAGCGCAGGGGAGAGGUGCUUGCGGGGAAGUGCCUGUGCAGAGUGCUUGGCUGAACUGAUCACAGGAACGACGAAAAGAGUGGCUGCAGCAGACAAUCACAGGAUUAUUUCUGUGCAAAUGAGCAAAGUUAUUGCUAGGCUCUGCUUUGCAGGGUGCUCAGACGUGAUCAGCCCUGCUGGAAGGGGGUGGGAAAGCAGCUUUAGUCCAGAGGUGUGGAUGCCAAAGCAACAGCAGCAAGCACGCUGCUGGUACAGCUGGGCCAGGGCCAGGUAGGCACGGCGUGGCCAUCAUGCACAGUCCGCUCAUGCCUAGGAGGUUGUGUGAUGAUGUGGCAUGGGGUCCGUACAUGUGGGACUUCAGGAAAACUUGUCUAAUAAAAGAAACUGCCUCUUUAAGGCGUACCUUCCC